UAACGCGUGAGGAACCUGCCUCAAAGAGGGGGACAACAGUUGGAAACGACUGCUAAUACCGCAUAAGCCCACGGCUCGGCAUCGAGCAGAGGGAAAAGGAGCAAUCCGCUUUGAGAUGGCCUCGCGUCCGAUUAGCUAGUUGGUGAGGUAACGGCCCACCAAGGCGACGAUCGGUAGCCGGACUGAGAGGUUGAACGGCCACAUUGGGACUGAGACACGGCCCAGACUCCUACGGGAGGCAGCAGUGGGGAAUAUUGCACAAUGGGGGAAACCCUGAUGCAGCGACGCCGCGUGGAGGAAGAAGGUCUUCGGAUUGUAAACUCCUGUUGUUGAGGAAGAUGAUGACGGUACUCAACAAGGAAGUGACGGCUAACUACGUGCCAGCAGCCGCGGUAAAACGUAGGUCACAAGCGUUGUCCGGAAUUACUGGGUGUAAAGGGAGCGCAGGCGGGAGAACAAGUUGGAAGUGAAAUCCAUGGGCUCAACCCAUGAACUGCUUUCAAAACUGUUUUUCUUGAGUAGUGCAGAGGUAGGCGGAAUUCCCGGUGUAGCGGUGGAAUGCGUAGAUAUCGGGAGGAACACCAGUGGCGAAGGCGGCCUACUGGGCACCAACUGACGCUGAGGCUCGAAAGUGUGGGUAGCAAACAGGAUUAGAUACCCUGGUAGUCCACACCGUAAACGAUGAUUACUAGGUGU
rnacentral:rRNA from 1 species